rnacentral:rRNA from 1 species
AUUGAACGCUGGCGGCAGGCAUAACACAUGCAAGUCGAACGAGCGGCGGACGGGUGAGUAAUGUCUGGGAAACUGCCUGAUGGAGGGGGAUAACUACUGGAAACGGUGGCUAAUACCGCAUACCAUCAGAUGUGCCCAGAUGGGAUUAGCUAGUAGGUGGGGUAACGGCUCACCUAGGCGACGAUCCCUAGCUGGUCUGAGAGGAUGACCAGCCACACGUGAACUGAGACACGGUCCAGACGCCUCCGUGAGGCAGCAGUGGGGAAUAUUGCACAAUGGGCGCAAGCCUGAUGCAGCCAUGCCGCGUGUUUGAAGAAGGCCUUCGGGUUGUAAAGCACUUUCAGCGGGGAGGCGUUACCCGCAGAAGAAGCACCGGCUAACUCCGUGCCAGCAGCCGCGGUAAUUC